rnacentral:rRNA from 1 species
UACGUAGGGUGCAAGCGUUAAUCGGAAUUACUGGGCGUAAAGCGUGCGCAGGCGGUUUUGUAAGUCUGUCGUGAAAUCCCCGGGCUCAACCUGGGAAUGGCGAUGGAGACUGCAAGGCUAGAGUUUGGCAGAGGGGGGUAGAAUUCCACGUGUAGCAGUGAAAUUCGUAGAUAUUCGGAAGAACACCAGUGGCGAAGGCGACUUACUGGUCCAUAACUGACGCUGAGGAGCGAAAGCAUGGGGAGCGAACAGG